GGGAUUCACCGUGAGGGUGACAGCGAGGCUGUUCCAGGCAAGCAGGACCUGUGGGGCACCUCCCAGGAGGGGGCAGCAGUGCCUUGCACAAAUCCAGCCUGCUUGGCUCUCAGCCUCAGGGCUGAGGUGAUGGGAACUGAGGCUUCCCCCGGGAAGGGGCGUCCCUGGGGACCUCCUCCCUGCCAGGGAAACCCGGCCUCUGGGCCUGGGUGAACGUGCCUUCCGGACCAUCCAGGCAGGCCUCAGGCACUGGGGACAGCCUCCCGCCCUCCUCCUGAAUCUCUCCUCCAUCCUGGCCAGCCCCCACCUAGCCCUGGUGAAACGGAGACCCCAGGACUAGCUCAGGCCCCUCGCCACAGGCCCUCUGGGACUCUGCCACAGUGAGCCCCGCUCGGGAGGCGGAGCUGCAGAGCCCACCCCGCCGCCGCAGCAGGGCCCUCCCCAGGCUGGCCUUGGGGCUCCCAGGACUCAGAGUGUACAAAUAUAUCUCCUACCGCACCUAGGAUGCGAGGCGAAAACUGAGGAUCGCUAUUUUGCUUGGAACUAAUCUGGUGUCUCUCCUCUGAGCCUCACCCACUAGUUAGUGGGAUGGGAGGAUACAUGAAAUGUCCAAUCCAGUUAAACUCUCCAGGUAUGCAGCUCUGCUCUCAUCACUCCCCAGCACACCCCAGCCCACCCUGCAGCCUCGUCUCCAGUCCUGCACCUUCAGAACAGUGUCUGACGUGCAAUGUUUGUUGUAUGAAUUGGUCUGGGAUCUGGCGACUGAGAGUUGAAAGGUCUCACCCACGUGACAGGAGAAGGCAGAGCACCAUGAAAGGAGCAUGGGCUGCCCCUGUGCCUCACCUGCUGGUUCAUCGAACAGCAUCAAAGGACACGUCUUUGAGCGCCACGCGGGGGAAGAAUGUUUGACAUCCCUGAACUCUUGCUACCUGGCAGAGGGCCUGCAGCAUGGUCAUUACUUAAUAAAUAUUUAAGUUCAUUAAAACACAAGAAAAGGGCUCCUGAAAAUAGUCUGGAAGCGCUCAGGACCCGCUUUAUCUCUUUCCCAGUUUUGCUUUGGGCCAGCUGUGUGCUAAAUUUAUUCGCUUAUUUACUCAGCCAGUCAAUAAA